UGCAGUCGAGGGGUAUGGUUUUCGGACCUAGAGACCGGCGCACGGGUGCGUAACGCGUAUGCAAUCUACCUUUUACAGAGGGAUAGCCCAGAGAAAUUUGGAUUAAUACCUCAUAGUAUUAUUGAAUGGCAUCAUUUAAUAAUUAAAGUCACAACGGUAAAAGAUGAGCAUGCGUCCCAUUAGCUUGUUGGUAAGGUAACGGCUUACCAAGGCAACGAUGGGUAGGGGUCCUGAGAGGGAGAUCCCCCACACUGGUACUGAGACACGGACCAGACUCCUACGGGAGGCAGCAGUGAGGAAUAUUGGUCAAUGGGCGCAAGCCUGAACCAGCCAUGCCGCGUGCAGGAUGAAGCAUCUAUGGUGUGUAAACUGCUUUUGUACGAGAAGAAACACUCCUACGUGUAGGAGCUUGACGGUAUCGUAAGAAUAAGGACCGGCUAACUCCGUGCCAGCAGCCGCGGUAAUACGGAGGGUCCAAGCGUUAUCCGGAAUCAUUGGGUUUAAAGGGUCCGUAGGCGGUUUUGUAAGUCAGUGGUGAAAGCCCAUCGCUCAACGGUGGAACGGCCAUUGAUACUGCAAGACUUGAAUUAUUGGGAAGUAACUAGAAUAUGUAGUGUAGCGGUGAAAUGCUUAGAGAUUACAUGGAAUACCAAUUGCGAAGGCAGGUUACUACCAAUAUAUUGACGCUGAUGGACGAAAGCGUGGGGAGCGAACAGGAUUAUAUACCCUGGUAGUCCACGCCGUAAA
rnacentral:rRNA from 1 species